rnacentral:tRNA from 1 species
CCGACCUUAGCUCAGUUGGUAGAGCGGAGGACUGUAGUGGGUGCUGCCCGAUUGUUAUCCUUAGGUCGCUGGUUCGAAUCCGGCAGGUCGGA